rnacentral:lncRNA from 1 species
CUCUUUAGAGGAUAUAUACAGCUUACAUGUGAGUCAUGGAUCAGCUGGAAGAGGGGUGUGACUUGAGAAAUUUUCCAGUAAAAGAAGUGGCUAAACAAAAAUCACUAUGUGAUUCUUCAAUAACUAAUGUAAUAUUUGUCACAAGAGGGAGAAUUUAUUGAACAGAAUUUACAGCUUGGAGUAAAGCCUGAUGGGGAGAAGGACGGUCAGGAAGGCAAAGGAAGGAAGGCGUGGAAGCAGGGACCGGUCUUUAUAUGAUAUGCUGAACACAACACAGUUGUGAUCCAGCUGAUAUAGGCUAUGGGAUAUUCCAUGUUCAAAUCUGAAGAGAGUGUCACUGCAACUGAAGACUCUCUGCACAGCAUUCAGAAAAUCCUGCUUCAUUUGUUAAAACCUUCACUCCGCAGUGUUUGUGCCAUGUCUUUCAACCGCCUGCUAUAAAAAGUUGCCGCCAUCUGACGAGGUGCUUGAGGAAGUCUGAAAAGAGGAUGAUUGUUUUAGCCAAACUAGUACGUUAAAAGCCAGGAAGUCAAAUUGCACCUGCAGUUACAUGUUGCAGGAAAGCCAACUUUUGGUCUACUGUUCUGCAUGAUAAAUUGACUCUCUUUAGCAUUCCAAAGAACACUUUUCAUCUCAUAAGGUAAAAAGGAUAAAGGUAAUACAAAUCUAGCUUAACUGAAAUAUUUUAAUAUGUAGGAAUAGAAGCAGUGCAACUGUAUUGAAUAGUGCAUGUGGUUUAUUUGCAGAGUGUAGAUAUUAUUUUUCUAUUCUUGAAAAAAUAUUAAUAGAACUGAAGCUUUGCAGUUAGAAAGUCUCAGGCAUGUUGAACAGUGAAACAAUAUAAUGUGAUAUGUUAGCUUGUCUAAACAGAAAAACAAUAUCAUUCUCACAUUCAGUUGUUGAUCUUAAUAAAAGCAGUGGAAACAGAGGGAAGAAUAAGCCA